ACGAGUGGCGGACGGGUGAGUAAUGUCUGGGAAACUGCCUGAUGGAGGGGGAUAACUACUGGAAACGGUAGCUAAUACCGCAUAACGUCGCAAGACCAAAGAGGGGGACCUUCGGGCCUCUUGCCAUCGGAUGUGCCCAGAUGGGAUUAGCUAGUAGGUGGGGUAACGGCUCACCUAGGCGACGAUCCCUAGCUGGUCUGAGAGGAUGACCAGCCACACUGGAACUGAGACACGGUCCAGACUCCUACGGGAGGCAACAUG
rnacentral:rRNA from 1 species